rnacentral:misc_RNA from 1 species
UAAGACGCCUCUAAUUAAUAUAGAGGCGCCAGUCACUAUUUUGUCAAGCGUUCGCAUUAAUUAUUCCCUUGCAAUUUUAAGAAAAUUAUUUGUACAAGGAGACAAAAUGUACUUUCAUAUGAUCUAAAAAAAAAAAAAAACUAUCCUGAAAUGUUAGAACAACCAGCAACUGCAUCAACAAAGAUAAAACAUUUUUCUGUUAGAUCUAGUGAAAGAACCAUAAGAUCAAGCAAACGCGAGAUAUCAGAAGAACUAAAUACAGUCGCUCGAGGCCGGUGAACAUAAUAUUGAUAGGUGCCAAAGUUGAAUCGGACUGAUUCCUAAAUAAUUAUAUGUAGG